rnacentral:lncRNA from 1 species
GUUGUAUGUUGCAACUUUGUAACCAACAUUGAUAUACUGUUGAAACCCAAAAGGUUUUUAAGUCCUGACUCUCUCAACAUUGCUAGGAGUCUAUGUGAGAAGCAAGCAUACCAGCAAACCUGAGCCCCAGCAGGGUCCCCUACCAUGACUUUAUUAAAAAUGUGCCCCUGGCAAGAGGCCAGUUGAGUUUCUGGACCACAGUGACGAGGCCUGGGGUGCCAGCUUUUCAGAGAACUGCUUCCCUACUCUCCAAGAGCCAGCUGGGCUCCUACCACCUCCAGGAGGUCUCUCCUAAGAAUGCAGGGCCCAUGGGUCCCUCCAUCCUGUGGCUUACCAAAUGAAGGGCUUCGUCACGAGUGCUUCCUGUGUGCCAUGCACUAUGCUGGGUGCACCACACAGGUCAUCUCUUACUUUUACAAGAGCCCUCUCAGGCAGGCAGUACUCUUACUCCCAUUUUCCAGGUGAGGACACGGAGGCUCAGUGAGGUUAAGUCAAUGGCCCAGGUUCAGUGGGCUAGAAAGUCAAUGAAGGCUCGAGCUGGAGUUCCAAGUGCUUUCCUGUAUACCUCGCCGCCCUCCACCCCAUGUCUGUCCCAUGUGUUCUGCAUUGACUCUGCCUACUAUUAUCAGGCCAAGUCAUCAGAGGUGCAUUUUUCUCAUCUCUGGGCUAAAAAUUAGAUUUCAGCCUGUCUACCCUCUUCCCUACUUGUUUCCCCACUGGCUCCUCCACUCCCAGUACCCUGCCCAUAAAUCAAUAAAUGUUGGGAAAGUGAAUGAUGCCAAGACCCAGGUGAAUCUGACUUGACUGUGUCUCUCCUUAUGCAGAAAACACGGCCGCCUUCGACGUCGGGUGAGAGCCUCUGCACCAUCUCUCUGGAGUCUGGAGGCUGAAUGUGAGGCCUACUUCAGUAUGUUGAGACCCAGUUGACACCUGCACAACAGCACCAUGAGUGUGGCUUUCAUCUUUGCGGCUGCUUCCCCCAGAAUCCUAAGACCUUCUCCAAGGAAAUUUUCGGGAAUGAGCAUGGACUUGAUGUCAGAAGACCUAUGUGCCAUCUCAGCCUGCUCCUUGCUGGCUAGUAUGAUGGUGAGUGAUGAGUUUUUGUCAUUGAUGCGAGGACGGAGUUGUAGUGGUUCAUCUCUCAGGGUCCUGGUAGGACUGACAUCCUUCAUAAUUGAAAAGAAGCAUGAUGAGCAGUACAAAUGUGGAAUCAGGGAACUUCCAGUUAUGAGCAAAAUUCGUAACAUCUGAGAAAGGGAGGGAAGCAGAGAGAGAGCACACAAGAGCAUAAGGAAGAUGCAGCUAACUGAGGGGAGAAGCUGGCACCCCAAAAUCACUGCAAAUUGUGAAUAUUCACUCAAGAACCUAGCCUCGAAUCACCAAAAGUUUCCAUGAAGACUCCUGGGUGCCCAAGUCUUUUGGUAUAAGGAAAGUCGUAGGGAAGAUUGGAUUCGUUUUAUAGAAGUUCGCUUUACCUCCAUGUCAGGAAGGCAUUAUUCUUCAGCAAGACAAAAGAAACCUAGUUGUUGCUUUGUGGUCUAGGUGCUGCUUGGAGUCAAGGAAGAGCUGGGUUCUGAGAUGCUAGCUCAGGAUUCUGGGAGCAAGGAAGCAGAUGGCACCUGGAGGUGGUGGCCAGAGCAAAAUUCCCCGGAUGAGAGAGAGAGAGUUUGGAAUUGUUUAAAGAGCAAGAGUAAGUUCCCUUAAAGCUGCUAUCCCCAGGGCUGACCCCCAAAAGCAGAGAACUGAAGGCUGUUUCCUCCUCUAGCAGGGGUGAAAUAGAAGGAACAUGGCUCCUCUUUCAUAGCAUCUCUUUGGGAAAGGGCUGGCUUUCUAUAUGUGCUACAAAAAUCCUCCCGUGCCACUUGCUUUGCCUUCAUUGCAUCUCUUAUGAGCCACAUCUGUAGGAACAGUCACUUUUGAAAACCCCACAGAACCAAUGACCUUCUUUUUACGGAUAAAGAGGAAAGCCAGAUUCUUUUAAUUGGUUUUUAAAAAAUUGCAUGUACUUUUGACAGAGACGAAAGCCUCUUUUCCUGGGUGUUACCUCUGACAUCUUUCUUGUUAGGACUGGAGAGAAAAAAUGGACCCCAGGAAUGGAGCUGCAGGGACCCUGGAAAAAGGGGACGCCAUCACGCCACUGUCGAGUUCUGUCAACUGUCAAGUUAAUUAGAACAAAAUUAAAAACACAUUUGCCAAGAUGUUCUGCAGCCAAACCAGUUAAAUAGAGAUUUUAACAAAAUUGAAAGCAUAUUAUACUGAGAUUUGUGGAUCCUGGCCCGGUGAGUGAGUGCUGAAAGUGUGAUAAAAUAACAAAAUUGCUGCCUAAUAAUCUAUAGAAUAAUAUUGUCAACUAAUGGAUUAUAAUAAAAUAAAAGCUGUUAUUAGGGUAAAACA